GAUGAACGCUGGCGGCGUGCCUAAUACAUGCAAGUCGAGCGAACGGACGAGAAGCUUGCUUUUCUGAUGUUAGCGGCGGACGGGUGAGUAACACGUGGAUAACCUACCUAUAAGACUGGGAUAACUUCGGGAAACCGGAGCUAAUACCGGAUAAUAUUUUGAACCGCAUGGUUCAAAAGUGAAAGACGGUCUUGCUGUCACUUAUAGAUGGAUCCGCGCUGCAUUAGCUAGUUGGUAAGGUAACGGCUUACCAAGGCAACGAUGCAUAGCCGACCUGAGAGGGUGAUCGGCCACACUGGAACUGAGACACGGUCCAGACUCCUACGGGAGGCAGCAGUAGGGAAUCUUCCGCAAUGGGCGAAAGCCUGACGGAGCAACGCCGCGUGAGUGAUGAAGGUCUUCGGAUCGUAAAACUCUGUUAUUAGGGAAGAACAUAUGUGUAAGUAACUGUGCACAUCUUGACGGUACCUAAUCAGAAAGCCACGGUUAACUACGUG
rnacentral:rRNA from 1 species